CCUACGGGUGGCUGCAGUGGGGAAUAUUGGACAAUGGGCGAAAGCCUGAUCCAGCCAUGCCGCGUGUGUGAAGAAGGCCUUCGGGUUGUAAAGCACUUUCAGUGGGGAAGAAAGCCUUGGGGCUAAUACCCUCGAGGAAGGACAUCACCCACAGAAGAAGCACCGGCUAACUCCGUGCCAGCAGCCGCGGUACUACGGAGGGUGCGAGCGUUAAUCGGAAUUACUGGGCGUAAAGCGCGCGUAGGCGGUCUGAUAAGCCGGUUGUGAAAGCCCCGGGCUCAACCUGGGAACGGCAUCCGGAACUGUCAGGCUAGAGUGCAGGAGAGGAAGGUAGAAUUCCCGGUGUAGCGGUGAAAUGCGUAGAGAUCGGGAGGAAUACCAGUGGCGAAGGCGGCCUUCUGGACUGACACUGACGCUGAGGUGCGAGAGCGUGGGUAGCAAACAGGAUUAGAUACCCUUGUAGUC
rnacentral:rRNA from 1 species